rnacentral:rRNA from 1 species
GGCGGUUUGUCGCGUCUGCUGUGAAAGACCGGGGCUUAACUCCGGUUCUGCAGUGGGUACGGGCAGGCUAGAGUGUGGUAGGGGAGACUGGAAUUCCUGGUGUAGCGGUGAAAUGCGCAGAUAUCAGGAGGAACACCGAUGGCGAAGGCAGGUCUCUGGGCCAUAACUGACGCUGAGAAGCGAAAGCAUGGGGAGCAAACAGGAUUAGAUACCCUGGUAGUCCAUGCCGUAAACGUUGGGCGCUAGGUGUGGGGCUCAUUCCACGAGUUCCGUGCCGCAGCUAACGCAUUAAGCGCCCCGCCUGGGGAGUACGGCCGCAAGGCUAAAACUCAAAGGAAUUGACGGGGGCCCGCACAAGCGGCGGAGCAUGCGGAUUAAUUCGAUGCAACGCGAAGAACCUUACCAAGGCUUGACAUGCACCGGACGACUGCAGAGAUGUGGUUUCCCUUUGUGGCUGGUGUGCAGGUGGUGCAUGGUUGUCGUCAGCUCGUGUCGUGAGAUGUUGGGUUAAGUCCCGCAACGAGCGCAACCCUCGUUCCAUGUUGCCAGCGGGUUAUGCCGGGGACUCAUGGGAGACUGCCCGGGGUCAACUCGGAGGAAGGUGGGGAUGACGUCAAAUCAUCAUGCCCCUUAUGUCUUGGGCUUCACGCAUGCUACAAUGGCUGGUACAGAGGGCUGCAAUACCGUGAGGUGGAGCGAAUCCCUUAAAACUGGUCUCAGUUCGGAUUGGGGUCUGCAACUCGACCCCAUGAAGUCGG